AUUGGAUGAAUUUGCGCCCGAUUAGGUAAGUUGUGGGGGAACCGCCCCACCAACCCCUUAAUCGUUCCGGGUUGUGGGAGCAAGAGCCCGGAGAUGGAAUUUGAGACACGAUUUCCGGGCCCUACGGGGCGAAGCAGGCGCGAAAACUUUACCAUGCAGGGAACUGGGAUAAGGGCACCCCCGAGUGCCUGUCCACGCCGGGUUGUCCCGGUUGUUAAAAACACAUCGCAAGAAAGGGCCGGUCAUGACCCGUGCCAGCCGCCGCGGUAAUACCGGCGGCUCGAGUGGUGACCACUUUUAUUGGGCUACAAGCGUUCGUAGCUUGAUUUUUAAGUCUCUUGGGAAAUCUCACGGCUUAACUGUGAGGCGUCUAAGAGAUACUGGGAAUCUAGGGACCGGGAGAGGUAAGAGGUACUUCAGGGGUAGAAGUGAAAUUCUGUAAUCCUUGAGGGACCACCGAUGGCGAAGGCAUCUUACCAGAACGGCUUCGACAGUGAGGAACGAAAGCUGGGGGAGCGAACGGGAUUAGAUACCCCGGUAGUCCCAGCCGUAAACUAUGCGCGUUAGGUGUGCCUGUAACUACGAGUUACCGGGGUGCCGAAGUGAAAACGUGAAACGUGCCGCCUGGGAAGUACGGUCGCAAGGCUGAAACUUAAAGGAAUUGGCGGGGGAGCACCACAACGGGUGGAGCAUGCGGUUUAAUUGGACUCAACGCCGGGCAGCUCACCGGAUAGGACAGCGGAAUGAUCGCCGGGCUGAAGACCUUGCUUGACCAGCUGAGAGGAGGUGCAUGGCCGUCGUCAGUUCGUACUGUGAAGCAUCCUGUUUAGUCAGGCAACGAGCGAGACCCAAAUCAUUGGA
rnacentral:rRNA from 1 species